UCCAGACUCCUACGGGAGGCAGCAGUGGGGAAUAUUGCACAAUGGGGGAAACCCUGAUGCAGCGACGCCGCGUGAGUGAAGAAGUAUUUCGGUAUGUAAAGCUCUAUCAGCAGGGAAGAAAAUGACGGUACCUGAUUAAGAAGCCCCGGCUAACUACGUGCCAGCAGCCGCGGUAAUACGUAGGGGGCAAGCGUUAUCCGGAUUUACUGGGUGUAAAGGGAGCGUAGACGGCAGCGCAAGUCUGGAGUGAAAUGCCGGGGCCCAACCCCGGAACUGCUCUGGAAACUGUGAAGCUGGAGUGCAGGAGAGGUAAGCGGAAUUCCUGGUGUAGCGGUGAAAUGCGUAGAUAUCAGGAGGAACACCGGCGGCGAAGGCGGCUUACUGGACUGUAACUGACGUUGAGGCUCGAAGGCGUGGGGAGCAAACAGGAUUAGAUACCCGUGUA
rnacentral:rRNA from 1 species